GUGGGGAAUAUUGGGCAAUGGGCGCAAGCCUGACCCAUCAACGCCGCGUGAAGGAAGAAGGCUUUCAGGUUGUAAACUUCUUUUACCAGGGACGAAACAAAUGACGGUACCGGAAGAAUAAGCACCGGCUAACUACGUGCCAGCAGCCGCGGUAAUACGUAGGGUGCGAGCGUUAAUCGGAAUUACUGGGCGUAAAGCGUGCGCAGGCGGCUCUGCAAGUCAGAUGUGAAAACCAGAGGCUCAACCUCUGGCCUGCAUUUGAAACUGUUGUUCUUGAGUGUCGGAGAGGUAAUCGGAAUUCCGUGUGUAGCGGUGAAAUGCGUAGAUAUACGGAGGAACACCAGUGGCGAAGGCGGAUUACUGGACGAUAACUGACGCUGAGGCGCGAAAGCGUGGGGGCAAACAGGAUUAGAUACCCCGGUAGUCC
rnacentral:rRNA from 1 species